AUGUCACAAUACUCAGCUUCUGUGUAUAAUGUAGGAUUCUCGACGAUAUUUAACUCAGAUGGCUCCAACCUCUUAAUAUUUAAGACCCUCCAAAAUGUUCUGCUUUUUAUCUCUUCCAAUCAUGUAGAAUCUCUGAGCAUAGAGAAAAGAUAUUGUCAGAAUAAAUUCGUGAGACGUAGCGUAAAGUGCAUGGCAACAUCUAUCAAUGAUUUUAGUUGCAGAAGAAGAAAGUGGCAUUUUAGUUAA